rnacentral:rRNA from 1 species
ACAGCAGUCGCCACGGGAAUACAGAGGGUGCAAGCGUUAAUCGGAAUUACUGGGCGUAAAGCGCGCGUAGGUGGUUUGUUAAGUUGGAUGUGAAAUCCCCGGGCUCAACCUGGGAACUGCAUCCAAAACUGGCAAGCUAGAGUAUGGUAGAGGGUGGUGGAAUUUCCUGUGUAGCGGUGAAAUGCGUAGAUAUAGGAAGGAACACCAGUGGCGAAGGCGACCACCUGGACUGAUACUGACACUGAGGUGCGAAAGCGUGGGGAGCAAACAGGAUUAGAUACCCGUGUAGUCCCUGUCUCUUAUAC